rnacentral:rRNA from 1 species
UACAGAGGUCUCAAGCGUUGUUCGGAUUCAUUGGGCGUAAAGGGUGCGUAGGUGGCGCCGUAAGUCAGGUGUGAAAUCUCGGGGCUCAACCCCGAAACUGCACUUGAUACUGCGGUGCUCGAGUACUGGAGAGGAGAUUGGAAUUUACGGUGUAGCAGUGAAAUGCGUAGAUAUCGUAAGGAAGACCAGUGGCGAAGGCGGCUCACUGGCCCGUAACUGACGCUGAGGCACGAAAGCGUGGGGAGCAAACAGG